rnacentral:rRNA from 1 species
UACGGGGGGGGCAAGCGUUGUUCGGAAUUACUGGGCGUAAAGGGCUCGUAGGCGGCCAACUAAGUCAGACGUGAAAUCCCUCGGCUUAACCGGGGAACUGCGUCUGAUACUGGAUGGCUUGAGUUCGGGAGAGGGAUGCGGAAUUCCAGGUGUAGCGGUGAAAUGCGUAGAUAUCUGGAGGAACACCGGUGGCGAAGGCGGCAUCCUGGACCGACACUGACGCUGAGGAGCGAAAGCGUGGGGA